AAGGUGAAACUGCAGAGAUCAUGGAAUGCAGCAGUUCAACUCAGUCUUUAUUGGAAGAAAAAGUUCAUAAGUCAAGGACUUGCAGGGGCACACUGACAUAGCACCAAGACUGAAGAAAAGAAUUAUUACCACCACCAACAGGCAUAAUGCUAGCUGCCAUCGAGGUGAGCCAAGGUCAUGGAUGCCAUUGCUUUCAUGCAGAUGUAGAACUCCUCGUCUAGACCGAAAGGGAAGAGGGCUAGCAAUGCAUAAGCAAGGGAAGCAUGCAGAUCAAUGUGUAUGGGGCACACAGUCAGAGAUCUUCCAUUGUUAGAAAUGAUGGUGUGAACUUUGUUUUAUUUUUUCAAGAACACCUAAUAGCUAAAACCUGCAAAAACACAAUGAAGAUA